UGAGUAAUGAUGUCAAGAUCACCCAAUUACUACUCAGUGAACUAACUCUUUUAUUUAUUUAUUUAUUUUUUACAUAUGACUAAGUUGCCACUCUUUUUCAAUACGACAUGAUAUUUACACCUGCUAUAUCUUAUGCUAAAGGCUCAAUUCAGAUUUAUCCUUAUAGCGAUAGUUAAUCAAUACAAUCUUGAGUUGGAACAAAUGGAUGUGAAGAUCGCGUUCUUACAUGAAGCAGCCAAAUGAUUUUUUAGAGGACAAGUCUAAGGGUGUUUGGGUUUUGGAAGGGUCAUUGUGUCACUAGCCAACAUUACAACAACAUUUGACAUGGUUGGUCUAUCUGCUGCAUCUUCUUGAACACACAAUAGACCAAUGUUUAUGCACCUCACAACUUCAUUGUGUAUGCAGGAUUUUUCAAGUACUGAAUCCAUCAAUUCCAAACAAUUACCUUCGCACCAUUUUUUCCAUGUCUGCAUGUGAGAUCAGAGACAUUUUUGUCUCCUAAAUGAUUCCAUGCAGGGUAUGUAAUAACUUUCCCAAAGAAAUUCUCAUUUGAGUACCUUAAAAUGCAAAUGGUAAAAAAUAUAGUAGCAGAGGCUCUAUUAGGACAACGCUGAAGAACUUCUCUUGUAGCAGCAGCAACACAAAAUUGACAAAAGAAUCCAACAACAUCACUACGACAAUCAUAGAGGCCGUACACUUUGGUUGUGUUGUUGUCUCCUAUGCUUGUGUAGUUAUAGCCUUUGCUUGUUGCUGCAUCAUUGGAUAGAUUUAAGAGGAUGCUGUUGAGAUUUGUUUGGUAUGCAUUGGUUAGAGGUUUUGGUUUUGUGUAAUUACAAUCAUCUCCAACAUAAGUAGGUGAUUGAGCUUUUGUAAUGAGUUGUUUGAAGCUUAGAAAAAGUAGGAAACAAAAAAUUAUUGAUAUUAAAUUUAAUUUUGUUCUUUCCAUGGAGUAGUAUACUAUCAUCCUUGCUCGGCUCCAAAUAUAUUAUAAUUCUGUAAGUCCUAAACAAAUGAUUUUGUCAUGAUGAAUAUAUAUAUAUUUUUUUGAGUCAA